GAAAUAUAUUCUUAUUAAAAUUGAGCUGCUAACUUAAUUUUUAGUGGUUAAAUUCCAUUAAUAUUUCU
rnacentral:tRNA from 1 species